rnacentral:rRNA from 1 species
ACGAACGCUGGCGGCAGGCUUAACACAUGCAAGUCGAACGAUGUAGCAAUACAUAGUGGCGCACGGGUGAGUAACGCGUGGGAACGUACCCUUCAGUUCGGAAUAACAGCGGGAAACUGCUGCUAAUACCGGAUAUUCUCGAGAGAGGAAAGAUUUAUCGCUGAAGGAUCGGCCCGCGUGAGAUUAGGUAGUUGGUGGGGUAAUGGCCUACCAAGCCUACGAUCUCUAGCUGGUCUGAGAGGAUGAUCAGCCACACUGGAACUGAGACACGGUCCAGACUCCUACGGGAGGCAGCAGUGGGGAAUAUUGGACAAUGGGCGAAAGCCUGAUCCAGCCAUGCCGCGUGAAUGAUGAAGGCCUUAGGGUUGUAAAGUUCUUUUGUCAGGGAAGAUAAUGACGGUACCUGAAGAAUAAGCACCGGCUAACUUCGU